rnacentral:rRNA from 1 species
GGUGCAGCAGUCGGGGAAUCUUGCGCAAUGGGCGAAAGCCUGACGCAGCAACGCCGCGUGUGUGAUGAAGGUCUUCGGAUCGUAAAGCACUGUCGCGAGGGAAGAUACGCUACCAUCUAAUAACUGGGAGCUAAGACGGUACCUCGAGAGGAAGCACCGGCUAACUCUGUGCCAGCAGCCGCGGUAAUACAGAGGGUGCGAGCGUUGUUCGGAAUUAUUGGGCGUAAAGCGCUUGUAGGCGGCUUGUUAAGUCUCGUGUGAAAUCCCCAGGCUUAACCUGGGAAGUGCGCGAGAAACUGGCGAGCUUGAAUGCCGGAGAAGGUCGCGGAAUUCCCGGUGUAGAGGUGAAAUUCGUAGAUAUCGGGAGGAACACCAGUGGCGAAGGCGGCGACCUGGACGGACAUUGACGCUGAGACGCGAAAGCGUGGGGAGCAAACAGGAUUAGAAACCCCUGUAGUCC